CUGGUAUAGAUAUGAAGUUUCCAGAGAAAGACACAAUUCAAGACCAGACUCAUCAAAAAGAUCAGCUCCAAAUGCAAAUCUCAACCAUGUUCUUGCCACUCCAGCCACAGCCUAUGAUCUAGCUUGGUAUCCAAACUUUGAAGCCACACAUCAUAUGUCUCAUGAUUUAAGCAAUUUGAUGGAAAAGAUAGAUUAUAAAGGAAGAAGAAAUUAAUUUCCUAUUGGGUCAAAAAGUUAGAGCAGUCCACUUUGAUCAAUGAAUUAAUUUAGCUUUGUGCAAACAUUAAUUAAACAUAAAGUGGCUGAAUGUUAGAAUCAAAGUGGCCCAUAUCACAAGCCCAUUAACCAAUAUUGAAGGAUCAAAAGAAAGAACCCAAAGGUUCUCAAAGCAAGCCACGGUUACCUAAUACAUUGUGUAAUGGAAUUCAAAAUUCAAUUUGCUUUAUUGCAUGCAUAGGUAACCGAAACUCAAAAUUAAAUUGAGUUUAAUUGAGCAUUGAAAGCUUUGUCUCUUGUCUCUCUUGCUUUCGGUCAUAUCAUGUCAAUCAGAAAAGAAGAUAAAAGCAAGUUAUCAGAGGAGAUCAUCAGUGGCCUAAUGGAAGAAAAGGUUAGGAUGAAGAAAGGCUAGUGAAGUUCAUCUCAGAAGAAAGAUCUAAAGUAAGGCAUGGCAAGAUCUUUGACAUUGAAGGCAAGAUUUUGAAGAAGAGCUUCAAGAUUUUCCAUACCAAGAAAAGAAGCAAUCCGCCUCUGUCAGAGAGGAAGAUCUCAGUUGCAAAAGUUCACUGUCAUUUUUGUUCAUAAAAAAAGAAUGUAGCCGCCGAGCUACACAUAAGAAGAAGCAAAAAUGGAAAGCAAGGAGCUGUCCUGGGUCAGAAGAUCAUCAAGGGUCUGAAUCCUUUCUUGGAGCCAAAGACAAGAUCAAGGGUUCAGAUUGAAGGAUCUUGAUGAAAAGGGUUGAGAGAGGUACAUGCAUGUUGGUUUUUAGUUUUUCCUCUCUCUUCUCUUUGUCCGAACCGCUACUGUUUUGGUUGGAGAAGAAGUUGCUGGGUUGGUUAAACCAGUUUCAACCUUGGAAGCUUCCCCUUCUAUAAUAAGGGUGAACGGCCAAAGGUUGAGAUCAAGGAGAGAAAGUGAAAAAGCACAGAGUUCUCAUAGCUACCCAAGCUUCCUAAGUUCUUCUCCUUCAAUGGUGUUCAUUUUAUUUUCUUUUUCUUAGUAUUGUCUGUCUGAAUCUCAUAGUGAAAAAGGCAAACAUGGUGAGGUUUGUAAGAAAAAGCAAGUGAGAGAAAAAAGGCAGUGAUCAAUAUUAGAGAAAAAGCCAUAGAUGUCUUAGAGUUUCUUUGUACAUCUGUAUGUUGUGUUUCAUGAUCCUGUGGGGAUUUUCUUACAAGUUGGGUUAGCAUUUUACAAUUGAAAGCUAGGUUUUGAGUCCUAGUCAAAUUCAGAUUGGGUGUAGAAUCUGGGUUUGUCCCUAAUAGGAUUGGGUAGAUCCUAGGG